GAAUUCGCCCUUAGAGUUUGAUCCUGGCUCAGGACGAACGCUGGCGGCGCGCCUAACACAUGCAAGUCGAACGAGCGAGAGAGAGCUUGCUUUCUCGAGCGAGUGGCGAACGGGUGAGUAACGCGUGAGGAAUCUGCCUCAAAGAGGGGGACAACAGUUGGAAACGACUGCUAAUACCGCAUAAGCCCACGGUGCCGCAUGGCACAGAGGGAAAAGGAGUAAUCCGCUUUGAGAUGGCCUCGCGUCCGAUUAGCUAGUUGGUGAGGUAACGGCCCACCAAGGCGACGAUCGGUAGCCGGACUGAGAGGUUGAACGGCCACAUUGGGACUGAGACACGGCCCAGACUCCUACGGGAGGCAGCAGUGGGGAAUAUUGCACAAUGGGGGAAACCCUGAUGCAGCGACGCCGCGUGGAGGAAGAAGGUCUUCGGAUUGUAAACUCCUGUUGUUGGGGAAGAUAAUGACGGUACCCAACAAGGAAGUGACGGCUAACUACGUGCCAGCAGCCGCGGUAAAACGUAGGUCACAAGCGUUGUCCGGAAUUACUGGGUGUAAAGGGAGCGCAGGCGGGAAGACAAGUUGGAAGUGAAAUCUAUGGGCUCAACCCAUAAACUGCUUUCAAAACUGUUUUUCUUGAGUAGUGCAGAGGUAGGCAGAAUUCCCGGUGUAGCGGUGGAAUGCGUAGAUAUCGGGAGGAACACCAGUGGCGAAGGCGGCCUACUGGGCACCAACUGACGCUGAGGCUCGAAAGUGUGGGUAGCAAACAGGAUUAGAUACCCUGGUAGUCCACACCGUAAACGAUG
rnacentral:rRNA from 1 species